rnacentral:rRNA from 1 species
UAGGGAAUCUUCGGCAAUGGACGGAAGUCUGACCGAGCAACGCCGCGUGAGUGAAGAAGGUUUUCGGAUCGUAAAGCUCUGUUGUAAGAGAAGAACGAGUGUGAGAGUGGAAGGUUCACACUGUGACGGUAUCUUACCAGAAAGGGACGGCUAACUACGUGCCAGCAGCCGCGGUAAUACGUAGGUCCCGAGCGUUAUCCGGAUUUAUUGGGCGUAAAGCGAGCGCAGGCGGUUAGAUAAGUCUGAAGUUAAAGGCUGUGGCUUAACCAUAGUACGCUUUGGAAACUGUUUAACUUGAGUGCAAGAGGGGAGAGUGGAAUUCCAUGUGUAGCGGUGAAAUGCGUAGAUAUAUGGAGGAACACCGGUGGCGAAAGCGGCUCUCUGGCUUGUAACUGACGCUGAGGCUCGAAAGCGUGGGGAGCAAACAGGAUUAGAUACCCUGGUAGUCCACGCCGUAAACGAUGAGUGCUAGGUGUUAGACCCUUUCCGGGGUUUAGUGCCGUAGCUAACGCAUUAAGCACUCCGCCUGGGGAGUACGACCGCAAGGUUG